CCACGAAGAAGAAGAAGACGGAGUGGGAGGAGGAAAGAGGAAAGUGAGCUAAACAAAACAAACUGUGCCUUUAAGUGUUUCAGCGUGUUAAAUCUCUCUUAAACAAGAGGAUGGCGACCUUCAGCAGACGGGCUCUGGACAGGACCUACUCUGUGGUCUUGCUGGCUGUCGUGGUCUUGUCCUGGUCUUAUGUGAUCUACGCCAGCAGGAUCGCAUCUUAUUGGCUGUUGGAGAAGAGGACCGCCCUCCUCCUGCAAAACUGACCGCCAGUAACAGGCUGAUGGACAGUUUUUAAACCUUGUGAGGUUCAAUCCUCUUACAGACUGAGAGACUCGACCUGACAGACCUGUGGAGGCCGGCCGUACUGAAGCACAUUGUUAAAA